rnacentral:tRNA from 1 species
AAGUGAGAAGCAAAUGUUGCAAUCAGUUUCGACCUGAGCCUAGAUAAAUUUACUUAUCCUCACUUU